rnacentral:rRNA from 1 species
GUGGGGAAUCUUGCGCAAUGGGCGAAAGCCUGACGCAGCCAUGCCGCGUGAAUGAUGAAGGUCUUAGGAUUGUAAAAUUCUUUCACCGGGGACGAUAAUGACGGUACCCGGAGAAGAAGCCCCGGCUAACUUCGUGCCAGCAGCCGCGGUAAUACGAAGGGGGCUAGCGUUGCUCGGAAUUACUGGGCGUAAAGGGCGCGUAGGCGGAUCGUUAAGUCAGGGGUGAAAUCCCGGGGCUCAACCUCGGAAUUGCCCUUGAUACUGGCGAUCUUGAGUAUGAGAGAGGUAUGUGGAACUCCGAGUGUAGAGGUGAAAUUCGUAGAUAUUCGGAAGAACACCAGUGGCGAAGGCGACAUACUGGCUCAUUACUGACGCUGAGGCGCGAAAGCGUGGGGAGCAAACAGGAUUAGAAACCCUUGUAGUCC